rnacentral:pre_miRNA from 13 species
AACCACACGGGAUAAUCAUUUUCCCGUGCGGUCGGGUUAAGUGGACCGCACGGGAUAAUCGAUUAUCCCGUGCGGUC